UACGUAGGUGACAAGCGUUGUCCGGAUUUACUGGGCGUAAAGAGCGCGCAGGCGGUCGAUCAAGUCGAGUGUGAAAGCCCCCGGCUCAACUGGGGAGGGUCAUUCGAUACUGAUCGACUCGAAGGCAGGAGAGGGUAGUGGAAUUCCCGGUGUAGUGGUGAAAUGCGUAGAUAUCGGGAAGAACAUCAGUGGCGAAAGCGCUCUACUGGACCUUAUCUGACAUUGAGGGACGAAAGCUAGGGGAGCGAAUGGG
rnacentral:rRNA from 1 species